AAAAUUCGAUUCCCUUAGUAGCGGCGAGCGAAACGGGAAGAGCCCAAACCAACAAGCUUGCUUGUUGGGGUUGUAGGACACUCUAUACGGAGUUACAAAGGACGACAUUAGACGAAUCAUCUGGAAAGAUGAAUCAAAGAAGGUAAUAAUCCUGUAGUCGAAAAUGUUGUCUCUCUUGAGUGGAUCCUGAGUACGACGGAGCACGUGAAAUUCCGUCGGAAUCUGGGAGGACCAUCUCCUAAGGCUAAAUACUCUCUAGUGACCGAUAGUGAACCAGUACCGUGAGGGAAAGGUGAAAAGCACCCCGGAAGGGGAGUGAAAUAGAACCUGAAACCGUGUGCUUACAAGUAGUCAGAGCCCGUUAAUGGGUGAUGGCGUGCCUUUUGUAGAAUGAACCGGCGAGUUACGAUUUGAUGCAAGGUUAAGCAGUAAAUGUGGAGCCGUAGCGAAAGCGAGUCUGAAUAGGGCGUUUAGUAUUUGGUCGUAGACCCGAAACCAGGUGAUCUACCCUUGGUCAGGUUGAAGUUCAGGUAACACUGAAUGGAGGACCGAACCGACUUACGUUGAAAAGUGAGCGGAUGAACUGAGGGUAGCGGAGAAAUUCCAAUCGAACCUGGAGAUAGCUGGUUCUCUCCGAAAUAGCUUUAGGGCUAGCCUCAAGUGAUGAUUAUUGGAGGUAGAGCACUGUUUGGACGAGGGGCCCCUCUCGGGUUACCGAAUUCAGACAAACUCCGAAUGCCAAUUAAUUUAACUUGGGAGUCAGAACAUGGGUGAUAAGGUCCGUGUUCGAAAGGGAAACAGCCCAGCCCACCAGCUAAGGUCCCAAAAUAUAUGUUAAGUGGAAAAGGAUGUGGCGUUGCCCAGACAACUAGGAUGUUGGCUUAGAAGCAGCCAUCAUUUAAAGAGUGCGUAAUAGCUCACUAGUCGAGUGACACUGCGCCGAAAAUGUACCGGGGCUAAACAUAUUACCGAAGCUGUGGAUUGUCCUUUGGACAAUGGUAGGAGAGCGUUCUAAGGGCGUUGAAGCAUGAUCGUAAGGACAUGUGGAGCGCUUAGAAGUGAGAAUGCCGGUGUGAGUAGCGAAAGACGGGUGAGAAUCCCGUCCACCGAUUGACUAAGGUUUCCAGAGGAAGGCUCGUCCGCUCUGGGUUAGUCGGGUCCUAAGCUGAGGCCGACAGGCGUAGGCGAUGGAUAACAGGUUGAUAUUCCUGUACCACCUAUAAUCGUUUUAAUCGAUGGGGGGACGCAGUAGGAUAGGCGAAGCGUGCGAUUGGAUUGCACGUCUAAGCAGUAAGGCUGAGUAUUAGGCAAAUCCGGUACUCGUUAAGGCUGAGCUGUGAUGGGGAGAAGACAUUGAGUCUUCGAGUCGUUGAUUUCACACUGCCGAGAAAAGCCUCUAGAUAGAAAAUAGGUGCCCGUACCGCAAACCGACACAGGUAGUCAAGAUGAGAAUUCUAAGGUGAGCGAGCGAACUCUCGUUAAGGAACUCGGCAAAAUGACCCCGUAACUUCGGGAGAAGGGGUGCUCUUUAGGGUUAACGCCCAGAAGAGCCGCAGUGAAUAGGCCCAAGCGACUGUUUAUCAAAAACACAGGUCUCUGCUAAACCGUAAGGUGAUGUAUAGGGGCUGACGCCUGCCCGGUGCUGGAAGGUUAAGAGGAGUGGUUAGCUUCUGCGAAGCUACGAAUCGAAGCCCCAGUAAACGGCGGCCGUAACUAUAACGGUCCUAAGGUAGCGAAAUUCCUUGUCGGGUAAGUUCCGACCCGCACGAAAGGCGUAACGAUUUGGGCACUGUCUCAACGAGAGACUCGGUGAAAUCAUAGUACCUGUGAAGAUGCAGGUUACCCGCGACAGGACGGAAAGACCCCGUGGAGCUUUACUGUAGCCUGAUAUUGAAAUUCGGCACAGCUUGUACAGGAUAGGUAGGAGCCUUUGAAACGUGAGCGCUAGCUUACGUGGAGGCGCUGGUGGGAUACUACCCUAGCUGUGUUGGCUUUCUAACCCGCACCACUUAUCGUGGUGGGAGACAGUGUCAGGCGGGCAGUUUGACUGGGGCGGUCGCCUCCUAAAAGGUAACGGAGGCGCUCAAAGGUUCCCUCAGAAUGGUUGGAAAUCAUUCAUAGAGUGUAAAGGCAUAAGGGAGCUUGACUGCGAGACCUACAAGUCGAGCAGGGUCGAAAGACGGACUUAGUGAUCCGGUGGUUCCGCAUGGAAGGGCCAUCGCUCAACGGAUAAAAGCUACCCCGGGGAUAACAGGCUUAUCUCCCCCAAGAGUUCACAUCGACGGGGAGGUUUGGCACCUCGAUGUCGGCUCAUCGCAUCCUGGGGCUGUAGUCGGUCCCAAGGGUUGGGCUGUUCGCCCAUUAAAGCGGUACGCGAGCUGGGUUCAGAACGUCGUGAGACAGUUACGGUCCCUAUCCGUCGUGGGCGUAGGAAAUUUGAGAGGAGCUGUCCUUAGUACGAGAGGACCGGGAUGGACAUACCUCUGGUGUACCAGUUGUCGUGCCAACGGCAUAG
rnacentral:rRNA from 1 species